rnacentral:misc_RNA from 1 species
AAAAACAACGUCACACAUCGGCAAAAUGGCAGAUGGACCAUCAAAAACCGAUAUCAAUGCUAUUUUUAAACGGUUACGGUCAAUUCCAACAAACAAGACAUGCUUUGACUGCAAUAGCAACAACCCGACUUGGGCCAGCGUGACAUAUGGAGUAUUCCUGUGUAUAGACUGUUCUGCUGUGCAUAGAUCUCUGGGCGUCCAUGUCACCUUUAUUCGCUCCACACAGCUGGACACUAGCUGGACAUGGCUGCAACUCCGAGCAAUGCAGGUCGGAGGAAAUGCCAAUGCUACGGCAUUUUUCCGCCAGCAUGGUUGUACUACAACAGACGCUCAACAGAAAUAUCACAGUCGCGCUGCCAAGCUUUACAAGGAGAAACUACAUUCCCUGGCCACAAACGCAAUGAGGCUCCACGGAACAAAGUUACAUAUUGAUAGUCACCAUGACCCCACUUCACCCACAACAAAAGAGGAAGUGGAUUUCUUCAAGGAACACGUGGACAUCAUAGAUUCUAAUCCGCUUUCUGACAACCAGAAACUCUUCAGUUCUUCAGAACCACAGCCAAUCAAAAACGGCAACAUCAAGAAGGAGGAGUUUGACCCAAAUGAGGGCCCCAGUGUGGAGGCAGCACUCAUAUUUCCAGUUCGCAGUUUUUCGGCAAUGAGCCCGCUGGGCGCAAGAACUACUCCAACAAUGCGCCCGAUCUACAGGAUAUAAAGGACGGGGUCCGCCAAGGGGUCACAAAGGUCGCAGGCAAGCUCUCCAAUCUGGCCAGCGGGGUCAUGAGUUCAUUACAGGACAAGUACAGUGGUUGACAAAAGCUUUAUCCUUAUUUCAAUAUUUAUCUUUUUACAAACUGGACAAUAUAAUUGGUGAUGGAGGCAGACUUAUACACACAGGUAGUUGUUGCUCCGGUCGCUAUCAAUGGUUGAAUCGGGCUCGGAAUCCUCGCUCCAUCUUCAGAUACUUGUGUUCCUGGAAUAUAGUCCUACUCCAACAACAGUCAAUUUAUCAGUGACCACAUUCAUUUUGUCUUCACAUUUUCACUGUGAAAUAUGAAAAAAUGAUAUUACAUGUAGAUGUACAUUUAAUUUCCUCCCCCAGAUUUAUCACUGACAUAGUCAAUUCAUGUUCAGGAUCAUCUAUAUUGCUGGGUCAUUUUAUUUUUCAGGAAUUUAUUUGUGUGCUAAUAUUAUCAUCUUUAGUUGUGAUGUCUAUUUAAGCUGAAUAUGCCAUUGUGAAAGUCAGUAGAAUUCUUUUUCCCACUUGCAUGUCAGAUUUUUUUUCUUUUUGAUUUUUUUUCAUGAUAAAGCUUAAUAUAUGUUCAUGUAACUGUAUGAGAAAAAGGGAAUAAAUAAAGAUAUAUGAACUU